rnacentral:misc_RNA from 1 species
AAAGUCGUAACAAGGUUUCCGUAGGUGAACCUGCGGAAGGAUCAUUAAAUAUCGGUAGUCUACUGCCGUUUGAGGGGCGUGGAAACUGCACAGUGAGAGCUGCGCAGGAGUACACGCCUUUUCUUAACCCUUGACUUUUUGCGCACUUGUGUUUCCUCGGCAGGCAAAGCCUGCCGGUUGGACAAUUCAAUAACCUUUUUAAUUUUCAAUCAGCGUCUGAAUUAUUUUAAUAAUUACAACUUUCAACAACGGAUCUCUUGGUUCUG